AGGACGAACGCUGGCGGCGUGCUUAACACAUGCAAGUCGAGCGACGCUCCUCCUUCGGGAGGAUGACGGAGCGGCGAACGGGUGAGUAACACGUGGGCAACCUGCCCCUAGCUCUGGGAUAAGCCCGGGAAACCGGGUCUAAUACCGGAUAUGAAGUCGAAAGGCAUCUUUUGACUUGGAAAGUUUUCGGCUAGGGAUGGGCCCGCGGCCUAUCAGCUUGUUGGUGAGGUAACGGCCCACCAAGGCGACGACGGGUA
rnacentral:rRNA from 1 species